GACCAACUUGUCAACGAGUUCCGCUUCCGGGAGUUUCCAGCCACGCUAGUCUGCGCUGGAAACCGCCGCAAGGAGCAGAACAUGGUGAAAAAAAGCAUCGGGUUCAACUGGGGAGCGGCGGGCGUUUCCACGUCAGUAUGGCGGGGGGUCCCACUGCGUGACGUGUUGAAACGAUGUGGGAUUAUGAGCCGCAAGAAGGGAGCGCUGAAUGUGUGCUUUGAAGGGGCGGAGGACCUGCCAGGUGGCGGUGGAUCCAAGUACGGGACCAGUAUCAAGAAAGAGCUAGCUAUGGACCCGGCUAGGGACAUCAUUUUAGCCUACAUGCAAAACGGAGAGCAGUUGGUACCGGACCACGGGUUUCCCGUGAGGAUGAUUAUACCAGGAUUCAUCGGGGGUAGAAUGGUCAAGUGGC
rnacentral:misc_RNA from 1 species